rnacentral:rRNA from 1 species
GCGGAGGAAAAGAAACCAACCGGGAUUGCCUCAGUAACGGCGAGUGAAGCGGCAAGAGCUCAAAUUUGAAAGCUGGCCCCUUCGGGGUCCGCGUUGUAAUUUGCAGAGGAUGCUUCGGGUGCGGCCCCUGUCUAAGUGCCCUGGAACGGGCCGUCAGAGAGGGUGAGAAUCCCGUCUUGGGCAGGGUGCCCGUGCCCGUGUGAAGCUCCUUCGACGAGUCGAGUUGUUUGGGAAUGCAGCUCUAAAUGGGUGGUAAAUUUCAUCUAAAGCUAAAUACCGGCCGGAGACCGAUAGCGCACAAGUAGAGUGAUCGAAAGAUGAAAAGCACUUUGAAAAGAGAGUUAAACAGCACGUGAAAUUGUUGAAAGGGAAGCGCUUGCGACCAGACUCGGCCCCGGGGUUCAGCCAGCACUCGUGCUGGUGUACUUCCCCGGGGGCGGGCCAGCGUCGGUUUGGGCGGCCGGUCAAAGGCCCCAGGAAUGUAUCGCCCUCCGGGGUUGUCUUAUAGCCUGGGGUGCAAUGCGGCCAGCCCGGACCGAGGAACGCGCUUCGGCACGGACGCUGGCGUAAUGGUCGCAAACGACCCGUCUUGAAACACGGACCAAGGAGUCUAACAUCUACGCGAGUGUUCGGGUGUCAAACCCGUACGCGCAGUGAAAGCGAACGGAGGUGGGAGCCCCCCCGGGGCGCACCAUCGACCGAUCCUGAUGUCUUCGGAUGGAUUUGAGUAAGAGCGUAGCUGUGGGGACCCGAAAGAUGGUGAACUAUGCCUGAAUAGGGCGAAGCCAGAGGAAACUCUGGUGGAGGCUCGCAGCGGUUCUGACGUGCAAAUCGAUCGUCAAAUUUGGGUAUAGGGGCGAAAGACUAAUCGAACCAUCUGGUAG